UUGCACGCUGGCGGCAGGCCUCACACAUGCAAGUCGAGCGGAUGACGGGAGCUUGCUCCUUGAUUCAGCGGCGGACGGGUGAGUAAUGCCUAGGAAUCUGCCUGGUAGUGGGGGACAACGUUUCGAAAGGAACGCUAAUACCGCAUACGUCCUACGGGAGAAAGCAGGGGACCUUCGGGCCUUGCGCUAUCAGAUGAGCCUAGGUCGGAUUAGCUUGUUGGUGAGGUAAUGGCUCACCAAGGCGACGAUCCGUAACUGGUCUGAGAGGAUGAUCAGUCACACUGGAACUGAGACACGGUCCAGACUCCUACGGGAGGCAGCAGUGGGGAAUAUUGGACAAUGGGCGAAAGCCUGAUCCAGCCAUGCCGCGUGUGUGAAGAAGGUCUUCGGAUUGUAAAGCACUUUAAGUUGGGAGGAAGGGUUGUAGAUUAAUACUCUGCAAUUUUGACGUUACCGACAGAAUAAGCACCGGCUAACUCUGUG
rnacentral:rRNA from 1 species